ACGUAGGUGGCAAGCGUUGUCCGGAAUUACUGGGUGUAAAGGGAGCGCAGGCGGGAUCGUAAGUUGGGAGUGAAAUUCAUGGGCUCAACCCAUGACCUGCUUUCAAAACUGCGAUUCUUGAGUGGUGUAGAGGUAGGCGGAAUUCCCGGUGUAGCGGUGGAAUGCGUAGAUAUCGGGAGGAACACCAGUGGCGAAGGCGGCUUACUGGGCACUAACUGACGCUGAGGCUCGAAAGCAUGGGUAGCAAACAG
rnacentral:rRNA from 1 species